CUUCGAUUUUACCCCAAAAAAUCCAAAUUUUGGGGGUUUAAAGUCCGUUUUUUUCACCUUAAAAACGACAAUUUUGGGGUUUCCGGGUCCAUUUUCUGCCCCAAAAAUCCAAAUUUUGGGGUUUUUUGAGUCCCGUUUUUCACCCAAAAAAUGAAAUUUUUGGGCCAUUUUCGAGUCCGUUUUUUGGCAGAUUUUGGGGUCUCCGGCUCCCGUUUUUCACCCAAAAAAAAAUUGAAUUUUUGGGCCUUUUUUAAACCCAUUUUUUGCAGCUUUUGGGCCUUUUUUUGAGUCCGUUUUUCACCCAAAAAAUGAAAUUUUUGGGCCUUUUUGAGUCCAUUUUUUUCCCCAUUUUUUGCAGAUUUUGGGUCAUUUUUUGAGUCCAUUUUUCACCCAAAAAAUGAAAAUUUUGGGCCUUUUCUGAGUCCAUUUUUUUUUCCCAUUUCUUGCGGAUUUUGGGCCUUUUUUGAGUCCAUUUUUUGCCCCAAUUUGUGGCGAUUUUGGGGUUUUUUGAGUCCAUUUUUUUGCCCAUUUUUUUGCAGAUUUUGGGGCUUCUUCUCCAUUUUUGACGAUUUUGGGGUUUCUGGUUCCGUUUUUUCCCCAAUUUUGGGGUUUUUGAGUCCAUUUUUCCCCAAUUUUCUGCAGAUUUUGGGUUUUUUCCUCCGUUUUUUGCAGUUUUUGGGGUUUCUGAGUCCAUUUUCCCCCAAUUUUGGGGUUUUUUGGGUCCAUUUUUUGCAGUUUUUGGGGUUUCUGAGUCCAUUUUUUUCCCCGAUUUUGGGGUUUUUUUUCUCUGUUUUUCCCCAUUUUGACGAUUUGGGGUUUCCGAGUCCAGUUUUUUCCCCGAGUUUUUCCCCCAAUUUUGGGGUUUUUGGGUCCGUUUUUUGCAGUUUUUGGGGUUUCUGGUUCCGUUUUGGCCCCGAUUUUGGGGUUUUUUGGGGCAUUUCUGCCUUCGGGGGGUGCCCGGCGGUUCCGGAAGGUUCCGAGGCCGGGGGGGGUUCCGGAAGGUUCCGCUGGGUGCCC
rnacentral:lncRNA from 1 species